AUUGAACGCUAGCGGGAUGCCUUACACAUGCAAGUCGAACGGCAGCGCGGACUUCGGUCUGGCGGCGAGUGGCGAACGGGUGAGUAAUGUAUCGGAACGUGCCCAGUAGCGGGGGAUAACUACUCGAAAGAGUAGCUAAUACCGCAUACGCCCUACGGGGGAAAGGGGGGGAUCGCAAGACCUCUCACUAUUGGAGCGGCCGAUAUCGGAUUAGCUAGUUGGUGAGGUAAAGGCUCACCAAGGCGACGAUCCGUAGCUGGGUUGAGAGGACGACCAGCCACACUGGGACUGAGACACGGCCCAGACUCCUACGGGAGGCAGCAGUGGGGAAUUUUGGACAAUGGGGGCAACCCUGAUCCAGCCAUUCCGCGUGUGCGAUGAAGGCCUUCGGGUUGUAAAGCACUUUUGGCAGGAAAGAAAUCGCACGGAUUAAUACUCUGUGUGGAUGACGGUACCUGCAGAAUAAGCACCGGCUAACUACGUGCCAGCCGCCGCAGUAA
rnacentral:rRNA from 1 species